UCUGGGCCAGUAGCUAUGGGGUGUUGCAAGUGGUGCUGUUUGCAGGUAGGGGAGUCCUUCCAUCUCUGGUGCUGGUGGGGAUGAAUUCAGCCCAGGACCCAUUUCUGACCUUUUUGUGCAACCAGGAGCAUUAUCCCCCACCAGGAAAUGGAGGCAGGGUCCCAUGAGGACAAGGGGACCCAGACCAACCUGCCCCUGUAUGCAGAAGCCAGCACCUAGGCAGAGGGCCCUGGGCAUGAACAUGCCGGCACCCAGACCAGGGCCUUCUGCUGGGCUGAGAUGGGGUGCCAGACCGAACCCCUGCCCAUGACGGACGCUAGCACCCAGACAAAGGUUGGCCAAUGUCAAAAACGACCAGGACAGGGAGAGAGGUAUGGUGCUUUUUGUUGUGUUAAUUUGUGAGCCUGGGAUCAGAGCUGGAUGGGACCUGGGUGAUGAUCAGGGCCUCUUCUGCCUCCAGGCGGGUCAAGAUGACCUAUGAUGCCCGUCCCUCAGGGUGCCAGUGCCCUGAACCAAGCAGUUGUCCCGUGUGUCAAUCCCACAACAUGUCUGCCCCUGGAUGCUGUGCUCAGGCAGCGUGGGGCCAUAUCUUGGGAGGGGAUUGGCCCCAGGCUGUAUGAAGCCCCAAGAGACAGGUGGGAGAGCUUCUUACCCUUACCGUAAAGAAGUUCUUCCUUAUGUCUAAUGUAAAUCUGCUCUCUGUCAGUUUGUGGCCAUUACUUCUACUUAUCACAGGGGACACCCCGGUAAAUAGGGUACCUCGUAUUUCUUUCCACCCCCCGCCACGUCCUGGUGAAUUUGUAGAUGGCCACAGGUCACCUCUCAGCCUUCUCUUGUGGAGGCUGAAGACAUCCAGGUCCCUCAAUCUCUCUUCCUAGGACCUUACCUUCAGGCCGUAAACCAUAUGGGUGGCCCUCCUCUGGACCCUCUCAAGGUUACCCAUGUCCCUCUUAAAGUGCGGCAUCCAAAACUGAAUGCAGUUUUCCAGCUGUGGGCUUACCAAUGCUGCAUAGAGGGGACGUAUCACCUCCCUAGACCUGUUUGUGAUUCACCUGCUAAUGCAUAGCAGAGGGUGGUUAGGUUUACUCUUCUCACUUUGUCGCACUGACGACUCAAGUUCAUCUUGAAGUCAACUGUGACUCCAAGAUACCGUUCUGCUGCUGUGCUGCUUAGAAAGUCUUUCCCCAGUUUGUGAGUGUGAUGGUGAUUCUUUCUCCCUAGGUGCAGCACUUAGCACUUGACUUCAUUAAAGUGCAUCCUAUUCUGUCCAUGAUCCAUCUCUAACCAGUUACUCUUGUGCAAUCAGGAGCAGAUGUCCCUCCCAGAGGAUGGACGCAGGCACCCAGGCCAGCCUGCCCCUCACCAGAGAGGCCAGCACCCAGGCAGAGGGCCCCCGGCAUGCAGACACCUGCACCCAGACAGGGGCCCUCUGCCUGGCUGAGGUGGGGUGCCAGGCUGGCCCUGGGCCAAUGCUGGAGGCAAGCACCGAGACCCAGGGGCAUCAUCGUCUAAGAUGGACACAACAGGGGGAAAGAUAUGAUGCUUGUCCUAGGGCUAGCUUGUGAGUGUGCGAUCUGUGUGAGGAGCGGAGGGCGCGCUGGAGCCAGGACUCUGUCCCUGGUCCUGGGAAGGGUCUUGCAGUUUGGGAGAAGGAUGGGUUGAGGGCCAGGACCCCUGGUUCCUUCCCAGCUCUGGAGGCCUUGGGAGGGAAUAGGUUAGUAAUGGGGACAUGUCUUGUGUGUCUUCAGUAAGUCCCUUUAACCACAAGUGCCUCCAGCGCCCUGUGUGUCUAGGUGGCGCAGGGCUGGGGCAGGGGGUUGACAGCCCUGGGCUCUCUGUUCUGGGAGCCCUCCCCAUUGUGUAUAUCCAGAGCGCAGCCAGGAACCAGCCCUAGGCCCAGCAGCACAGGGGGAGGAAGGCAGAUGGGUCCGGCAGGGCUCCCAGGGCCGGUCAAUGGGACAGAGGCAGUGGUGGAGAGAGGGGAGACCGGUGCAUGGGCUGGUUGAAGUGGCAGUGGCCUGGGGGUUUGGGGUAUCUGCGAGGUGACCAGUGUCUCUGCCUCCCACCCCCAGUGCUGACACGGCGGCAGAGGGGAGGAGGCGAAGGUGGGGAGCAGUAAGAAGGUGAGUGUCCCCCCUGCACCCCAGCAGCCCCAGGCGUGAGGGGUGCCCUCCCCCAGGCCACAUGAUGAUCGGGUGGCACCUGCCUCCAGGCCACUCAGGAUGACCCAUCCUCCCUCUCUGCUAGGGCUCUAGUACCUCAUAAGGACCGGGCAUCUUCCAUUUUGGCCCCUCAUUGCCCACCUCUGGGCCCAAGGACCCUGCUGCCAGGGCUUCACCCCGGGGUUUGGAGGUCAGAGCUUCUGGCUCGUCAGGCCUGCUGGGACAGAAAGCCGCACUGAGCCAUGUGUGACAACCACGUACUGCUCCCUGCUGGGGAGAUUCUCCUUUACCCCGUAGUUGUUCCUGGGUGUCAAUGGAGGGGUCAAGAUUGACCCCGUCUCCCUGACACUGGUUUCUUCUUACCUGGUUUGCACCCCACUCUGAGUGUGCCCUGACUCUGCCCCUUCUCCCACAGGGUGGCCUGGAUUGUCCCAUGCUGUAUUGCCCCCAGGAGAUGAACACCUGAACUCCUCCCCUCCCCACGCACCCCUGUCCUUCCCUCCCUCCAUCCUCCCCUGCCUGAUCCGGGAUGGGCCCACAGGAUGCCAGUGUUGGUGAUUCUGCGUCUCUGAGCAUGCCUCCACCCGCCGCAUCUCGGCACUGUGGCUCAGGUGGCCUGGCUACAAUCAAGGCAGGCAGUGCCAUGCCAAACUGAGGACCUCACCACGAUUGCCCUAAGACCAGUGGGAAGAGCCUAAGAGCAGACCUGGAGAGAGAGGCACCCGGGGCUUGCACUGGGACACUUGACACAGAAUUGGGUGCUUUCCCAGCUGCCAAAAGAAUCUAGCAGUUUUCCCCAAGCCCACCACGCAUGGGGAAGCAUUGGACGAUUUUCUGGCUUUUAUAGCAUUUAGGAAAAACCUGGAGGCUCAACUCACCACUGCAAGGAGUCCAGCAGGUUCCCACCACAGACCAAAAUACCCAGGGAAGCACCACACCGCUCUCCAGACUUCCGGAGCAUCGGGUACCCAAGUGGAUGCCCUCCCUCCAACACAGAUGCAGCAGGACCCCGAGUUGCAUGCAGGACCCUGUGCAGAAGACUCCAUCUCAGUUGUGAUUUUGCACAUAGAAGGCAGAAGCAGAAUCCUUGUGAUCGCAAUUCUCGCCAGACACCUCGCAUAAAAAAAAGACAUCCUCAUCACGCCGAGAUGUCACCAGGGCUAAUUACAAGACCCGAGUAGAAAGGGGUGAGCUGCAGGGAAGGAGGAGCUCCAGCCAAGUCAUGAACAUGCUGUCACACCUGGACCCUCAGGGAACCACUGAUCCCCACCUCCAGGCAACUGAAAGUUCACCCAGUGGAAACAACAAAGUUGUGGUGUGGUGUGACCCAGAGGGGUGGGAUGUGCCUGCAGCCCAAUGCCAACUACAGUCAAGCCCAGGAUGAUUGCAGUGACGCCUGAUGUUGCCAGUGGGAUCCUAGUUGAGAACCAUAAAGGGGCGAGGAUGCUGCAGCACUGCAGACUCCCUGUGCAGUUGGCCCAGGCACAGCAGGAUUCCUGAUCCAGCCCAUCGCCUGACUUCCCAUUGCAUCCAGAGGUGCCCUGUGUCCCAGGGCCAAAUAUGAAGCUGUCAUGGCAGAAACCUGUCCUCUCAAGCUAACCGCACAAGUGAAGCAGUGUGUGGUUCCUGGUGCACAAGGUCAUUCCCAUGUUAAAAGAAGAUAUGCAUAGGCCUCUUGCUUCAAAAGCAAGUCCCACAGUGAUGGGUAAAUGGCGAUGGGAGCAGACAUGUAUGAUUACCAGAAGCCCCUGGUCACGGACCUUCUCCUGGUCAUGGACCUGCACAUACAGAGCCAAUGACUAGAAGAUUAUGAUUUGUACUUUGAAUUGAGACAGGUGUGUAAUUAGGCAGCUGCAGUUAUAAGGCAACCCCUUCUCCUCAUACCCCUCCUCAUCUUUGACAUAAAUAGACUAGAUUAAGAGUCUACAAACAACUGCUUAUAAUCAAUUCACUACCAAUUUUUGAGGUUAUUAAUGACCCCCAUAGACCAAGGCUUAUAUCGAGAAGGCCAUUUUGAUAUCAAGGAAAAUGGAUCCAGAAAUGGAAGACAAUUGACAUCAUUAAUAAAUUUCUUAUCAUGGACCCCACAUCUAAACCUCCUAGUUCCCUUUUCCUAAGACAGAGCUGGACUACAUUGAACAAGGUUCAUAGUGGAAAACUACCUAUUUUUAAAAAGAAUUGUAUUAAAGUCCCCGAGUGUGAGUGUGGCAAAAUCCAAACUAUCACAUAUCACAGAGGACUGUCCUAUCUGUCUUUGUAAUGAUUGCAUUAAAGACCUGCACCAGGCUGCUGACGAUGGCUCUCCAUGAGUAUCAUACCUGAUACAGUCACUCUCGCCUUAUCCCUCAGUGCCAUUGCUGAUAGGAUGCUUAGAGCUUGUUCUGUUAUUUGGAUGCUGUAUUCCAUAGGAAUCAAAGCAAAAAAUGGAAGCCGUUGUGCUCUGCUCAUAACCCUGGCUCCUAACUGACCGUAUCAUAGUGCCUGGCAAAGUCCACCUCAGCCCAGCUAUGACCCGAGCAGUGCAGGAAACCAACUGCUAUAAUGGUUGUAGCAGAAGAGCUCACGUCGUGGCCUGGUCAGAUCCUGACAAUCUGCAGUUCUGCUGAAUCCCUGUCAUCGACUGUCUCAGGCAGGACACGAGAAGUGGAGGAGAAGAAAACCAGCCCCAAAGGCUGCUGGAUAGAUGUUUGUUUGAUAUGUUCCACGAUGCCCAGCCGCUUGGCCACAAAAUGAUGUCAGCAAAAGAAGCAACCAAACAAGAGGUUCAAUGUCAAGUGCUUCAAAACCCUGCUAAAAGACAUUACGUCCAGCAGUGUCUGAGGGAGAAACGUGCCAAGUGCCCUGAUCCUCUUGACACCACUGAUCAGUCAGGAAAGAGCGAGAGUUUCAAGAAAGGCAUCCACGAGGCAUGCUGACAAUCCAAGGCUUCUCCACCAAGAAACGUCAGGACUGGUUCAAUGAGAGAGACAGCUUUCAAAUUCAUGCCUUUCAAAUAGAAGACACAACAACAUCAGCUUUAAAUAGAAGUACCUUCAUCGGUGAUCUUCAGUACAGAUAAUUCCCUCAAUGGCCCCUGCCACACUAACAGUUUUGCACACACACGUGGAAAAUGGUUUUCCUCUUUUGUGUGUGUUAGGAAAAGACUCCACUGAAUAAGUGUUUAAUGUGUAACAUGUAAUAGAAAAAUGGGAUAAUUGAUUAUGCCAGUGCUGCAAAUCCUGAUGAAAUCUUCCCUGGGCUCACAUAAGGGCUUCACUGAAGAGAAGGUGCUUGGGUUUGGUCUAGCACAUCAUCCUGCACGUUCCCUUAGUCAUUGCUUUCCAUUUGCCCUGAGGGUUUUCUCCCCCUCCACUUGCCAGAGGAGUCUGAUCCCUUCCUCAGGCUGGAACAGGGCCAGGUUUCAGAUGGCAGAUCACAUCAGGAUUUCUUUGCAGGUACCGUCCGUGUAGGAGAUUUCACCUCUGGGGUCCAGCUCUUUGUCCUGACACAUGCAGAGUUCCCAGUAAAUGUGUGGACAUGGGGUCCGUCAGCACUGUGGCAGCUCGUGGGAUCUAAGCCUUCCCUCUUCCCCUCUUGUGUCACCAUGUGAUAUAAAGGUGACCUGGGAAAUGUCCGGCUCAUCCUGUCUUUGCUCUCUGAGUGCUCAGGACCAGUCCUGCCAUGAGCGUCUCACCAGAGCACAUCCACAUGAGGUGCCAGGGCUUGAAUUCCCCUGGAGAGGCCAUGGCUGGUCACGGGCCCUGUUCUGCAGGGCACUGCUCUAUCCAGUCGUCUUUUCAUUCUUGUACUGGAGUCACUGGGGUCACGGCAAGAAAUCAGGGUCCCAGUUCAUCCCACCUGACCACUCCAGUAGGGUCCCCUCCAGGAUACCUUGCGUGAAGUCUUCCCCAGGAUCAGGUCCCGGAAGACAGAGCAGGCCAGAGACCACAAGGGAAGUCCAAACUAUGCUACACUUGCUAUUGCUGAAGGGGUAUGUUGAUGGGCUCCAUUAGAGCAGAUGUGUCUCCAGGGACAUGGGAUCAUUGAACAGGAGGACUGGAAGGGGCCGCACAAUGUCAUCUCAUCCAGCCCCCUGAUCCAGGUGCUGUCAUCCCUGAGUAACCCAUCCCAGCCAAGUGUCCGUCCAACCUGCUUCUCAAAGUUUCCCGUCACAGAGACACCACCUCUCCUCUAGGCAGCCUGCUCCAAUGUCUGGCCCUUCUCAUGAUCAGAAAGUCCCUGGUGAGGCCUCCCCAGUGCUGAAUAGAGGGGAAGAGUCAUUUCCCUUGACGUACACAUGACACUCCUGUUAAUACAGCCCAGGACGCUGUUCUCUUUUUUUGGAACAAACAGGAGGGAGAAAUGGGAGACACAAAUUUGUAGCUCAGUCUUGGUCAGAGCCACCUGCCCAUGGGCCACAAAGCUGAGACCUGGGUCCUCCCUGAUGUAACCUUGGAGCCGUCCAGGUUGAUUGUGGGUUAAGCUGGCCUCCUCCUCUAUUAGCAGGGUCGGGGCCAGCUCUGCUCUCACCCUAGCGUGAUUGUCCCUCUCAAACGAGGACCCAUGAUCCACCCAUCUCUGAACACCUGUUCUGCAAGGAGCAUGCGGCAAGCGGGACCCAGAUUUCCUCCUGCUUCACAGCCAGCUGUUCAGCCUGGGCAUCAUGCAGAGCCUGCUGAUUUUCCUGGCCCUGGGGAGGGGGAGAAGGUCAGAUGAAACACCAGCUCUUUGAUCCCCGCAGAGCUGCACCAAUUCAGUUGCUCUGGCAGCAAGCGAGCUCAGCCCAGGCUCAGGUGGCAGUCAGGACCCCUCUGCACACCCCCAGCCAGGCCAAGCAAGCUGAUGUUUGGCUGUGGGCCUGCAGCACUGCUCAGCUGGGUGUCGUGAAGCCCCAGUGGGGUCCUGAACCUCAGACAAAGCCGGCUUGCUCAACAGUUCGCAGCACGGGCCCGGGACUAAAGCCCUGGAUAGGGAUUGGGGAGAGCUGUGCACAGCUCAACAGUUGUGACCUCUCUGUGCCUUCCUCUACAUGUGGAGUAGGGCGAUAGCAGCCCCAGCCUCUGCUGUGACAGCCCUUUGGGAUGUGCUGCUGGAAAGUGCUAGGUGAGACCUAUGUAACAUCAUGGCAUAAAUCAAUGGAACCCGCAGCAUCUGAACGGACAACGGAGGCUCCUAGUCUGGUGACCCUGGCGAGUAGAGACACUCAAAAAGGCCGAGGUGGACUUGAUCUAAGUUAUGGUUUUAUCUGUAAGCAGUGUAACUUAGAUUGGUAGCAAGAAGAGCACACCUCUGCCCUUGCAGGGGGUGCAAAUCUUACACCAGUUUCCUCCACUUAAACGACGUGUGCCAAACUUCUCUUCUGCAGUGGGUGUAGACCGGACUGUGAUCACUUAUUCCAGUUAUAGCGUAAUGUCUGCCCCUGGCCGUCUGUCCAGAUGUACUGAGCAGGAUGCAAUGAGGCCAGGCCAGAGGCCUGCAGCCAGGCAGUCUCAGUGAGAGACAGGCCCAGCCCUUGCGGGGACAGGCACCCCCUGCACUCAGCCCGGCGCAGCAGCCUGGUCCCAGCGGGGCUGGGGAUGCAAUCCAGGCAGCCGGUCCUGAGGCCACGGACAGCAGGGCCCACACGCUGCAGCCCUGGCAAGCCUGCGUGGCCUGCAAUGACCUUGGCUGGGCAACACUGAAAGCUCUUGGUCCCGACCCUGUGUGCAUGAUGCUCAACAGGUGAUGCUGUAUGUUCAAAGUGCACACGCAUUUUUUCGUGGCAUGAAUUAAUUGAUUCAUGGAUUCACAGACAUUAGGGCUGGAGGGGACCUCAGAAGAUCAUCGAGUCCAGCCCCCUCCCCUGGGGCAGGAAGUCAGCAGGGAUCGUAGGAUCCAGCGAGAUAAACAUCCAAAUGUCUCUUGAAGGCUUUCAAAGUCGGUGCUUGAACCACCUCCAGCGGCAGUCUGUUCCAGACCUUGGGGGUCGCACAGUAAAGAAAUUCUUCCUUACGUCCAGCCUGAAACUGGCCCCAGUUCUGUGCUGUGCACGGGGCAGUGCCAGCUGCCCGCCCUUGCAGUCCCAGGACACGGGGCCGGGGCCUUCUUCCAGGUGCUCCGUGGCGGGAAGAUUGACCACCUCCCAGCCAGGAACAUGGGAUUAGGGUUCAACCGCCUCAGCGCCCUGGCCUGGUGCAGCCAAAGGCCCCAGCUGCAGCAGGUCCUCAAGCCAGCUGCUACCCCCACACCUGGGGAGCACAUCUGGGCACAUUGCACAUGUCCACAUCCAGAUGGGGACAAGUCUCCUCACCCCUGCUCCCAGCCCAGCAUUGUAGGGGGCAGGGCUUGGCAGCCGUCUCGCAAGUGGGCCAGGCAAAGCCUGGGCUGAGAUAUCGAACCAGCCGUGUUGAAGGGGAAAAACAAAAUGGUUCCAGUCUGCCAUUUUGUUUGUGAGUGAGUCAUGUAGCCAGGUCAUGACCUUGCUGUAAACUAGGUUUUUUUUUUCUCUUUCUCCAGUAACAAGUUGAAGACAUGUGCAGACUUGUCUGCGUCGUGGCUAAUGUUGAUUGGUUUAUCCUGUUGCUAUGCUUAUGACGUCACAUUUUCUAUAUUACCCCCUCACUGCCUAUGUUCAGAGUCAGACCUCAUGGCAAAAUUCUGAAUUUGUGUGUGGCGCUGACCAGGAAUGCAUUUUUUAUUAAACUAAGUCUUUAAACUUCGA